rnacentral:rRNA from 1 species
AUUGAACGCUGGCGGCAGGCUUAACACAUGCAAGUCGAGCGAGCGGCGGACGGGUGAGUAAUGUCUGGGAAACUGCCUGAUGGAGGGGGAUAACUACUGGAAACGGUAGCUAAUACCGCAUACCAUCAGAUGUGCCCAGAUGGGAUUAGCUAGUGGGGGGGGAAAUGGCACACCUAGGCGACGAUCCCUAGCUGGGUGGGGAGGAGGACCGGACACACUGGAACUGGGACACGGUCCGAAUUCCGACGGAGGGAGGCAGUGGGGACUAUUGGACAAUGGGCGAAGGCCGGAUGAGGCCAGGCGGCGUAGGUGAAGAAGGCCUUCGGGUUGAAAAGCACUUUCAGCGAGGAGGCGUUACUCGCAGAAGAAGCAACGGCUAACUCCGUGCCAGCAGCCGCGGUAAUAC